rnacentral:rRNA from 1 species
CCUACGGGUGGCAGCAGUGAGGAAUUUUGGUCAAUGGACGCAAGUCUGAACCAGCCAUGCCGCGUGCAGGAAGACGGCUCUAUGAGUUUUAACUUGCUUUUGUACGAGGGUAAACCCAGAUACGCGUAUCUCUUUGAAAGUAUCGUACGAUUAAGGAUCGGCUAACUCCGUGCCAGCAGCCGCGGCACUACGGAGGGUUGAAGCGUUAUCCGGAUUUAUAGGGUUUGAAGGGUGCGUAGGCGGGCGGGUAAGUUAGAGGUGAAAUCCCGAGGCUCAACUUCGGAAUUGCCUCUGAUACUGGUCGGCUAGAGAGUAGUUGCGGUAGGCGGAAUGUAUGGUGUAGCGGUGAAAUGCUUAGAGAUCAUACAGAACACCAGUUGCGAAGGCAGCUUACCAAGCUGCAUCUGACGUUGAGGCACGAAAGCGUGGGGAGCAAACAGGAUUAGAUACCCGAGUAGUC